GGGUGAGUAACGCGUGAGGAACCUGCCUCAAAGAGGGGGACAACAGUUGGAAACGACUGCUAAUACCGCAUAAGCCCACAGGUCGGCAUCGACCAGAGGGAAAAGGAGCAAUCCGCUUUGAGAUGGCCUCGCGUCCGAUUAGCUAGUUGGUGAGGUAACGGCCCACCAAGGCGACGAUCGGUAGCCGGACUGAGAGGUUGAACGGCCACAUUGGGACUGAGACACGGCCCAGACUCCUACGGGAGGCAGCAGUGGGGAAUAUUGCACAAUGGGGGAAACCCUGAUGCAGCGACGCCGCGUGGAGGAAGAAGGUCUUCGGAUUGUAAACUCCUGUUGUUGAGGAAGAUAAUGACGGUACUCAACAAGGAAGUGACGGCUAACUACGUGCCAGCAGCCGCGGUAAAACGUAGGUCACAAGCGUUGUCCGGAAUUACUGGGUGUAAAGGGAGCGCAGGCGGGAAGACAAGUUGGAAGUGAAAUCUAUGGGCUCAACCCAUAAACUGCUUUCAAAACUGUUUUUCUUGAGUAGUGCAGAGGUAGGCGGAAUUCCCGGUGUAGCGGUGGAAUGCGUAGAUAUCGGGAGGAACACCAGUGGCGAAGGCGGCCUACUGGGCACCAACUGACGCUGAGGCUCGAAAGUGUGGGUAGCAAACAGGAUUAGAUACCCUGGUAGUCCACACCGUAAACGAUGAUUACUAGGUGUUGGAGGAUUGACCCCUUCAGUGCCGCAG
rnacentral:rRNA from 1 species